UACAGAGGGGGCGAGCGUUGUUCGGAAUUACUGGGCGUAAAGGGCGCGUAGGCGGCCUUCUAAGUCGAACGUGAAAUCCCCGGGCUCAACCCGGGAACUGCGUCCGAUACUGGAAGGCUUGAAUCCGGGAGAGGGAUGCGGAAUUCCAGGUGUAGCGGUGAAAUGCGUAGAGAUCGGCAGGAACACCCAGGGGGAAACCAGUCGACUGGGCAUCUACUGACGCUGAGGUGCGAGAGCGUGGGGAGCGAACCGG
rnacentral:rRNA from 1 species